GAUAAACGCUGGCGGCGCACAUAAGACAUGCAAGUCGAACGAACUUAACCUUUAGUUUACUAAUGGAGCGGUUAGUGGCGGACUGGUGAGUAACACGUAAGCAACCUGCCUAUCAGAGGGGAACAACAGUUAGAAAUGACUGCUAAUACCGCAUAUGCCUUGAAUAUCACAUGAUAUAAAAGGGAAAGGAGCAAUCCGCUGAUAGAUGGGCUUGCGUCUGAUUAGAUAGUUGGUGGGGUAACGGCCUACCAAGUCGACGAUCAGUAGCCGGACUGAGAGGUUGAACGGCCACAUUGGGACUGAGAUACGGCCCAGACUCCUACGGGAGGCAGCAGUCGGGAAUAUUGCGCAAUGGAGGAAACUCUGACGCAGUGACGCCGCGUGCAGGAAGAAGGUUUUCGGAUUGUAAACUGCUUUAGACAGGGAAGAACAAGGACAGUACCUGUAGAAUAAGCUCCGGCUAACUACGUGCCAGCCGCCGCCGUAACAC
rnacentral:rRNA from 1 species